rnacentral:rRNA from 1 species
AUGAGGCGGAGGAGGUUGAAGAGGAUGAUGAGUGGGGAGAGGAGGAGGAGGGAGGAGGAAUAUGAGUCAGCUGGGUCUGAACCAAUUCGAAAGCGUCAGAAAGUAUCUGACAUUUGGGAAGGCUUCAUGAUUCUUAAGCGCACACGCAGUGGGGAAUCAGCUAGAUGUUCUACUUGUGGCAAAACAGGCAUGACUUCUCUCUUGACAACAGCACGUUCAGUCGACAAGCCCCAGGUUGGUCCUGAUUAUGCUGCUGCUAGAAGAUCAUUAGCCAUGUUUAUUAUCACCAGUGGGCUGUCAUUAUCAAUUGUUGAAGAACCCAGUCUUCAGACGUUUAUCAGAGCUGUUAAUCCGCUGUCUGAAAAUAUAAACUCUUGUCGCCGGUCUUUUUUAGACAGAGAUGUCAUGGCUCUUUAUGGAAGGGAAAAGGAUUCUUUGAAAUUUAUCUUGUCUGAAGCACCUGGGAGAAUCAAUUUUGCUAUUGAUCGCUGGAAGGGCAAAGAAACCGGAGAAAACUACAACGAUGAUAUCUAUAUGUGCAUCGUGGCUUGCUUUAUUGAUGUUGAUUGGAAUUUGCAGAGAAGAGUAGUGGCUUUCAAACACUUGGCUUUUCCUGACGAUGUCGUGUCUGUCGCUGAUACUGUAGCAUCCUGUUUUACUGAAUUUGAGGUUGAUCAGAAGCUAAUGUGCAUAACUCUGGAUAAUGCAUUAGAUGAUGCUUCUGUGGAUAAUUCAGUUAAGACGAUUGUGCUAGAUAAGGACAAAUUGUUGUGUGAUGGUGAAUUAUGUCAAAUGCAUUGUUGCACAGAAAUCUUGAAUUCAGUUGUGCAAGCUGGUCUAGAGCUGAUUGAUGAUGUUGUUAACAAGAUUCGUCAUGGAAUUCACUAUAUCACUUACUCUAAAAAGAGAGAGGAUGAGUUUUAUCAGGGUGCUAAAGAAAUUUGUCAUCUUGAUGUUGCAAUGAAGUUACGUGCUGAUCUGGUUAUUACUUGGGACUCAACUUACAAAAUGCUUUGCUGUGCGCUGUAUUACAAGGAUGCUCUGAAGCAUUUUGCAUCAAAACAUCAGACCUUCUUGUCUGAUUUCCAUCUUUGUGAUGAAGAAUGGAACAGGGUGGCAACAAUGGAAAAGUUCAUAAAGCCACUCUAUGACAUCACAUGCACUUUCUUAACCACAAAGCACAAAACUGCCAGUUUAUACUUUCUUGGACUAUACAAGGUUUACCGAUUGCUUGGAGUGACAAAAGGGCAAGAAAACUUCAUGGCUGGUAUGGUGAAAGACAUGAUGGCUAAGUUCGACAAGUAUUGGUCCGAGUACAGUCUUGUUUUGGCUUGUGCGGCUGUUCUUGAUCCUCGUUACAAGCUCAACCUAGUCAGCUUUUGUUUUAAGAAGAUCUAUGGCGAUGUUGGUGCUAGCCAGUAUACUGACAGAGUUGUCGCAUUGCUCCACAGACUGUUUGCUCAAUAUGAGAAGUCACCGUGUUCUUGUUCAGCUGCAGUUGGGAGUGGUGGUACUGGGUACCACACCAAGGAUGAUCUGUUCGAUGGUUUUGCUCUGCCGGAACAAAAAUCGGAACUGGAUUGGUAUUUGGAAUCACCAGCUAUGCAUCUAAACACUGAUCUGGAUAUCUUGGAGUUUUGGAGCGGCAUGUCUAAGUGUUACCCCAACCUUGCAAACUUAGCUCGUGAUAUCCUCGCCAUUCCUAUCUCCACCGUUCCUUCUAAGUCUGUAUUUACCGUGGGUGAGAAAGUUGUGAACCCUCGUAGGAGUACGCUCAAGCCCGAUCUACUCGAGAUGCUGAUCUCGCUCCACGACUGGACAUGUCCACAUGACAAAAAGGGUAUUACUGUCUCUGCUAUAGAAGAGGGUAUCGAUGAUGAGGAAGACGAGGAGGAUGGUGCAGACGAAUCUGAUGAAGAAGAGAACACGGAAGAAUCUCAUGACAAUGAUGCUUAUUGCUGCGGGUGA